rnacentral:rRNA from 1 species
GAGUUUGAUCUUGGCUCAGAUUGAACGCUGGCGGCAUGCCUUACACAUGCAAGUCGAACGGCAGCAUGAUCUAGCUUGCUAGAUUGAUGGCGAGUGGCGAACGGGUGAGUAAUACAUCGGAACGUGCCCUGUAGUGGGGGAUAACUAGUCGAAAGAUUAGCUAAUACCGCAUACGACCUGAGGGUGAAAGUGGGGGACCGCAAGGCCUCAUGCUAUAGGAGCGGCCGAUGUCUGAUUAGCUAGUUGGUGGGGUAAAGGCCCACCAAGGCGACGAUCAGUAGCUGGUCUGAGAGGACGAUCAGCCACACUGGGACUGAGACACGGCCCAGACUCCUACGGGAGGCAGCAGUGGGGAAUUUUGGACAAUGGGCGAAAGCCUGAUCCAGCAAUGCCGCGUGUGUGAAGAAGGCCUCGGUUG